rnacentral:hammerhead_ribozyme from 1 species
AUUCAGCUGACGAAUCCUGAAUAGGAAGAAAUGCGCGUCAAACUGGAU